rnacentral:lncRNA from 1 species
CAAGGAGAACUACAAACCACUGCCCAACGAAAUAAAAGAGGAUACAAACAAAUGGAAGAACAAUCCAUGCUCAUGGGUAGGAAGAAUCAAUAUCGUGAAAAUGGCCAUACUGCCCAAGGUAAUUUACAGAUUCAAUGCCAUCCCCAUCAAGCUACCUACUUUAAAGUUCAUAUGGAACCAAAAAAGAGCCCACAUCGCCAAGUCAAUCCUAAGCCAAAAGAAUAAAGCUGGAGGCAUCAUGCUACCUGACUUCAAACUAUACUACAAGGCUAAAGUAACCAAAAUAGCAUGGUACUGGUACCAAAACAGAGAUAUAGGCCAAUGGAACAGAACAGAGCCCUAGAAAUAACGCCGCAUAUCUACAACUAUCUGAUCGUUGACCAAUCUGAGAAAAACAAGCAAUGGGGAAAGGAUUCCCUAUUUAAUAAACGGUGCUGGGAAAACUGGCUAGCCAUAUGUAGAAAGCUGA